ensembl:lncRNA
ACUGACUGAAUCCUUACUGCUGUUUUUUCCAAAUGUACCUAAGAUUUUAGGUGGAUAUUCCAAGGUACACUUCAGAUAAUGCUGCUGAACAAGAAAGAAGUAAAAACAACCACAUUUAUUCAAAAUUCAAAGAUCAUUUUGUCUUACAGGUGACUUACUGAAGCAGCGUGCCUUCCUAACGCUGGCUCCACCUCCUCACACUGGUUCAUCUACAGCAGUUGUUUAAGCUGUUGGAGGGAAUACAGUGAAAGACUGGAAUGACAGUGCAAAAUUCAAAAGUCUUUUAAACUCCCAGAGCUCUUCUUCGAUCCUCUCCUUUGGUCAUCUUCAUUUUGCAAAACACUAGCUUACUAAAUACAAUAGGGACACAUUGCAAAGCACAACCAGCAAGACAGUUGGGAGUAGCUGGGUUUUUUUUUUUGUUUGGUUGGUUUUGUUUUAAAUACAAAUGGUUCCUAAAAUCAUUUUUGUCAGAAAUAAGGCAGUGGGAAUUAGCUGAUAUCAUCCUCAGUAACACUCUGGAUCAUGUAUCUCAAUAAACAGCAGUAUCUUCAUAGAAUUAGUAUUCUGAGAUCAUUAAGUAUUAUGUAAUGUAAAUUACAUGAUAGAGUAAGCCAUGAGAUACUGUAAAAGCACACAGAAAAGCAGUGCCCCUCUUCUGAGUGCCUGGACUUACCUUAUGACUGCACAUGCACCACAUGCUUCUUUCAAAGGAUUCAUAACCCACUCUCAAACUAAACUGCUUGUUGUUCAUAUGACAGCAAAAUUCCAAAAGACAUUAAUUUAUGCUACUUAGGCCUAGUCUUAUUUUUGCUGACCUUCAACUUGUUAAAACGUACAGCUACUAUCUUAUGUUCCAGUGUAUCACCACCCUCUGUGUGAAAAACUUCCUCCUAAUGUCUAAUCUAAACCUCCCCUGUGUCAGUUUAAGACCAUUCCCCCUUGUCCUCUCACUAUCCACCCUUGUAAACAGUGAAACUGUUAAACUGAAUACACAAUUCAGUUCAGAAACCAGGUAUUUUUCUGUUCCCUCCCACUUUAUUUUCAGAUUAUCGUGAUUAAGCUUACACAGAAAUAAAAUGCAGUAAAUAUCAGAGCAACCGCAUAAAGCCAGCAAUGUUAAGACGUUCUGUGCAGGGUGGGAUGAUCUUUCGAGGUCCCUUCCAAUCCCUGACAUGCUGUGAUCCUGUGGAGACCUCAGUACAAACGCAUCGCUCCAGGAUGCCUGGAGGGACAGCACGGCAGCACUGAGCAGAUGUCCACCACCACUGCUGAGAAGGAUUCAGCCUGGGCCAUCCGCACCAAGCGCAGGUGGCUGCUGUUUCCAGGAGGAAGAUGCGUCCCUCACAAUGUGAGCACAUCUGCCAGCAGAGCAUUUGCCGGGGGAGCAGCACGCAGUGGCGAUAAAAGCACUGAGCUCUGUGGCUGAGUUCAAAGCUUUGCAUCAGUGGUUGGAGACAGCAGAAGGCAGGCUGCAGCCUGCAGCCACAGGGAGUCGUGCCCUGGAGAUGGGGACACAGCUCAUACCUCAUCGUCGUGGCCAGUGGGCAGUCAGCAGCUCAGCCUGGCCGCAUGGUCUCCAAAGCUGGGAAGGCAAACCGCAGCAAGCAGCUGGGCAAGCAGAAAAUACAACACAGCAAGGCUUCUUUUGACCUCCUUCUCACUCGCAUGCAAAGCUGCCUUUACCAGAAAAGUCCCUGGGACAGCGCUUCUUUGGCAGUAUUCUCUGAAUUCCUUGACAUACAACUGAAGUGCUGAGAAUACUAUAAUAGUCAUUCAUCACAGUACAAAAGAAGCCAAGUCCAAGUCGUUACAGAAUGUAUCCAGCAGCUGCACUGGUACUGUUUUCACAGGUACAACAAAAAUAUUUCUCGCUGAAAGACAGCAGCAUAGACUGACUAAUAUCAGGUGUGCAAAAUAAAAAAUAAUAAUAAAAAUAAUUAAAAAGAGUAUAACUUG